AUUGAACGCUGGCGGCAGGCCUAACACAUGCAAGUCGAGCGGAUGAAGGGAGCUUGCUCCUGGAUUCAGCGGCGGACGGGUGAGUAAUGCCUAGGAAUCUGCCUGGUAGUGGGGGAUAACGUCCGGAAACGGGCGCUAAUACCGCAUACGUCCUGAGGGAGAAAGUGGGGGAUCUUCGGACCUCACGCUAUCAGAUGAGCCUAGGUCGGAUUAGCUAGUUGGUGGGGUAAAGGCCUACCAAGGCGACGAUCCGUAACUGGUCUGAGAGGAUGAUCAGUCACACUGGAACUGAGACACGGUCCAGACUCUUACGGGAGGCAGCAGUGGGGAAUAUUGGACAAUGGGCGAAAGCCUGAUCCAGCCAUGCCGCGUGCGUGAAGAAGGUCUUCGGAUUGUAAAGCACUUUAAGUUGGGAGGAAGGGCAGUAAGUUAAUACCUUGCUGUUUUGACGUUACCAACAGAAUAAGCACCGGCUAACUUCGUG
rnacentral:rRNA from 1 species